rnacentral:rRNA from 1 species
AUACAUGCAAGUCGAGCGAAUGGAUUAAGAGCUUGCUCUUAUGAAGUUAGCGGCGGACGGGUGAGUAACACGUGGGUAACCUGCCCAUAAGACUGGGAUAACUCCGGGAAACCGGGGCUAAUACCGGAUAACAUUUUGAACCGCAUGGUUCGAAAUUGAAAGGCGGCUUCGGCUGUCACUUAUGGAUGGACCCGCGUCGCAUUAGCUAGUUGGUGAGGUAACGGCUCACCAAGGCAACGAUGCGUAGCCGACCUGAGAGGGUGAUCGGCCACACUGGGACUGAGACACGGCCCAGACUCCUACGGGAGGCAGCAGUAGGGAAUCUUCCGCAAUGGACGAAAGUCUGACGGAGCAACGCCGCGUGAGUGAUGAAGGCUUUCGGGUCGUAAAACUCUGUUGUUAGGGAAGAACAAGUGCUA